ACUAGUCCUAGCCCUAUAAACCUAAAAAUUAAACUAUUUCACUAAAUAAAACAAACCAUUUAACAAUUAAAGUAUCGGAGAGAGAAACUUUAUUCAAAGGAGCUAUAGAGACAGUACCGUAAGGGAAAGAUGAAAGAUAAACUAAAGUAAGAAAAAGCAAAGAUUAAACCUUUUACCUUUUGCAUAAUGAACUAACUAGAACAAUUCUAACUAAGAGCACUGAAGCUAGAAACCCCGAAACCAAACGAGCUACCUAAGAGCAAUUUUAUGAAUGCACCCGUCUAUGUAGCAGAAUAGUGGGAAGACUUUUAGGUAGAGGUGAAAAGCCUAACGAGCUUGGUGAUAGCUGGUUACCCAAUAAAGAAUUUUAGUUCAACUUUAAAUUUACCUAAAGGAGUUACAACCUAAAUGUAAAUUUAAAAUAUAGCCUAAAGGGGGACAGCUCUUUAGGAAUGGGAACAACCUUUAGUAGAGAGUAAGAUAAAAACAUUCUAACCAUAGUGGGCUUAAAAGCAGCCAUCAAUAAAGAAAGCGUUCAAGCUCAACACUUAAUAAUUUCCAAUACCUAACAUCUUAUCAACCUCCUACACUUAUAAUUGGGUUAAUCUAUUAAUAAAUAGAAGAAAUACUGUUAGUAUGAGUAACAAGAAUAAUAUUCUCCAUGCACAAGCCUAUAACAACCCGGAUGACCAUUGUUAGUUAACAUAAAUGAAAGUUUAUUAAACCUCCUAUAAACUUACUUUCCCCCAUAAUGUUAAUCCAACACAGGCGUGCUUUAAGGAAAGAUUAAAAGGAAUAAAAGGAACUCGGCAAACACGAAUCCCGCCUGUUUACCAAAAACAUAACCUCUAGCAUCAUAAGUAUUAGAGGCAAUGCCUGCCCAGUGACUUAGUUUAACGGCCGCGGUAUCCUGACCGUGCAAAGGUAGCAUAAUCACUUGUUCCUUAAUUAGGGACUAGAAUGAAUGGCUAAACGAGGAUUCAACUGUCUCUUAUUCCCAAUCAGUGAAAUUGACCUUCCCGUGAAGAGGCGGGAAUAACACAAUAAGACGAGAAGACCCUGUGGAGCUUUAAUCUAACUUAUUAACUUAUAUAACUACAAACCUAUUGGCCUAAAACUGUAAAAGUAUAAUAAGAAGAUUUUGGUUGGGGUGACCUCGGAGCAUAAAAAACCCUCCGAAUGAUUGUAGCUAAGGCCUACAAGCCAACGCACCUAUAAUCUAAUUGACCCAAAUAUAUUUGAUCAACGGACCAAGUUACCCUAGGGAUAACAGCGCAAUCCUAUUAGAGAGUCCAUAUCGACAAUUAGGGUUUACGACCUCGAUGUUGGAUCAGGACAUCCCAAUGGUGCAGAAGCUAUUAAAGGUUCGUUUGUUCAACGAUUAAAGUCCUACGUGAUCUGAGUUCAGACCGGAGCAAUCCAGGUCGGUUUCUAUCUAUUAACGAUUUCUCCCAGUACGAAAGGAUAAGAGAAAUGAAGCCUCCUUGACAUAAGCGCUUUAAAAAUAAUUAAUGAAUACAUCUCAAUGUAAUAUAUCCGUACCAUCAACCCCAAGAUAAGGGUU
rnacentral:rRNA from 1 species